GGAAUCAUGCAUCUGAAGGGUGGCUGCAGUGUUUGGCAUAAGAGAUUUCACUCUCAUAGUGCACUACAUUCCAAACUUCUCAAGACGAUUUGCAAGCAAUUACAGAGCAAAUGUCUUCAAUGUGAAUAAGCCUGAACAAACAACUAAGAUUUCAUGGUGGAUUUAAAAGCAUUGUGAGCCCAAUCCAGUAGGCACUAAGCAGUUCUCACCACUAUUGGCUCAGGCAGAGGUGCUCUGCACCUUGCAGGGAACAUCAACGCUCUGUGAAUCAGGCCCUGGGUGAGUCAGUAUCAAAUUUUUUACGAGACAAAAAACUCCACAGGCAAGGUGAAAACUGCUAUAAUAGGAAUUUAACUGCUUGUAGCAAUGCAAAAGUAAGGGCUAGCUGCAAAUAACAUUUACUGCUAAAGGAACAAUGUUUUAAAAAACGACUCUCUUUAGAUUAAUGAAACAGAUGAGCAAAGUAUUUUUAAAGCAAAGUGCCAUUAAGGGCCUGAAACAAUGGAACUAAGUCUUAGGAAAAUGAUAUUUAACAUUUUGCUGUUAAAGCCAACAGGGAAACUGGAAUUGUGGAAUACAUCUCUUGAAAGGAGAAGGGAGCUCUCAACCAGGAGUACUAAUAUAUUGCCCACCCAGCACCCUCACAGAUACUGGCCGUCCAGCUGUCCUGCUGCCUGAUUCAUGCUGCCAAGCUUGGUACAAUGAUGAAGAGAAGGGACUAUCACUUUGGCUCCAGGGAAAGUGGGGAAAACAUGCAUUUCUGCCUACCUCUUCUCAGCAAUUUUUCUUCACAUCCAUGGCCAUCGGAUGAACUCCACACACCCCACAUUGAACACUUCUCCCAUCACGGCUGCCCGCUACAGUGAGAUGCUCUGUAUGAGGUCCUACAUUGGUAGCAUCACUCAGCUCAACAGGAGCUCCUUUACAGCUCCUUUACAGACCUCACCUGCUGAAAAGAGAAAGUGAUUGAAAUGUACAGGCAGGGGAAACUUUCCAAGAACAUCUUAUAAAAAUGAUUUUUCACAGGAAGAUAAAGUUUUCUGUUGCAAAAUUCCAUUAUUUGUAUAUGAGGAGUAGAAUCAGAAAGCAAGGAUGACCAUGCAGCAGCAGUGUGAAAGAUCAGUCUCCUCUGGGAGUUUAUUUAGUAGAAAGAAAAUAAACAUCACCAAGGACCAACUGUGUGUUAAAUC
rnacentral:lncRNA from 1 species